UGGGGAAUUUUGGACAAUGGGCGAAAGCCUGAUCCAGCAAUGCCGCGUGUGUGAAGAAGGCCUUCGGGUUGUAAAGCACUUUUGUCCGGAAAGAAAUCCUUGGCUCUAAUACAGUCGGGGGAUGACGGUACCGGAAGAAUAAGCACCGGCUAACUACGUGCCAGCAGCCGCGGUAAUACGUAGGGUGCAAGCGUUAAUCGGAAUUAUUGGGCGUAAAGCGUGCGCAGGCGGUUUGCUAAGACCGAUGUGAAAUCCCCGGGCUCAACCUGGGAACUGCAUUGGUGACUGGCAGGCUAGAGUAUGGCAGAGGGGGGUAGAAUUCCACGUGCAGCAGUGAAAUGCGUAGAGAUGUGGAGGAAUACCGAUGGCGAAGGCAGCCCCCUGGGCCAAUACUGACGCUCAUGCACGAAAGCGUGGGGAGCAAACAGGAUUAGAUACCCUGGUAGUCCACGCCCUAAACGAUGUCAACUAGUUGUUGGGGAUUCAUUUCCUUAGUAACGUAGCUAACGCGUGAAGUUGACCGCCUGGGGAGUACGGUCGCAAGAUUAAAACUCAAAGGAAUUGACGGGGUCAUAGCUGUUUCCU
rnacentral:rRNA from 1 species